rnacentral:rRNA from 1 species
UUCGUAGGCGGUGUGGCAAGUUGGGAGUGAAAUCUCUGGGCUCAACCCAGAGGCUGCUUCCAAAACUGCUGUGCUUGAGUGUGAGAGAGGCUCGUGGAAUUGCAGGUGUAGCGGUGAAAUGCGUAGAUAUCUGCAGGAACACCAGUGGCGAAGGCGACGUGCUGGGCUGCAACUGACGCUGAGAUGCGAAAGUGUGGGGAGCAAACG